rnacentral:lncRNA from 1 species
GACGGGGUCGGAAAUGGAAGACAAUAGGGCUUCCAUGAAGUACUCAGACUGCCUAUGAGAUGGCAACAGGCCCCAGGACUUAGCAGCGCUCUGACAGGGAGCUGGAGGUGGGGACAGGAUGGACCUGAGGUCCGGGUAAGGGAGCUGGAGGUGGGGACAGGAUGGGCCUGAGGUCCAGUCAUGAGAGAGGAAAACUGUGAUGCAGUGUGUGUAAGUUGCUCAGAUGACUACCACAAAGAACAGAAAAGGAGGUGGGAAGCCAAUCACAAAACCUCGGCUUCCUUAGUUAUUUGGGAUAAAAAUAAUUUUGCUGCCAGCUUUCCCGGGAGGGCACCUGAGAAGGACGACUCCGCGGACCGGUUUGACUAAGACAUUUCUAACAUAAGUCACAUAGGGGCCCUUCUUCAUGCUCCUCUCCUACUUUGCCAAACUUCUCUUUCUGUUCAAAGGACAUAAAAUCUCCCUGUGUGUCCACUGGAAUAUCUGGGCAGGAGACAGAGCGGCAACGCCACGACUUGUGUCCUGUUUGUUCUGCUUCUGAACGCACACGGGGUCUGAAGCGCCCCUUCCCCUUUUGUGGCCCUGUGUCUCUGUCAGUGGAUUCACUGGGCUCAUCUAGCAACUCUAAAAGGGCUGAGGAGAAAUUUUGCAUCCCCAACACAAACUAAAACCUGAAAGAUGACUUAGCUGCUCUAAAUAUUGACCUGGUCAUCUAUAAAAUCAAGGUAAGUGUUGGGAGUUUGCUGCAUCCCCCCAAAAAGAUAUGUAAAUGUGACCUUAUGUGGAAAUACAACCAUUGCAGAUAUCAUUAAUGUGUGAAUGAAGAUAGAUCAUACUGGGUUUGGAUGGGCCCUAAGUCCAAUGCCGGCUCUUCUUAUGGGAAGAGGUGGG